ensembl:misc_RNA 7SK 7SK RNA
GGAUGUGAGGGUGAUCUGGCUGUAACAUCUGUCACCCCAUUGAUCACCAGGGUUGAUUCGGCUGAUCUGGCUGGCUAGGCCGGUGUCCCCUUCCUCCCUCCAUGUGCGGCCCUCCCCAAGCUACAAGUUGGGUUGAAGAGGACAACCUUUCCGGAAUAGAGCACCAGUCUUCAGUCAAGGGUAUACAAGUAACUGCGCCCCCUGCUGGAACCUCCAAACAAGCUCACAAGAAUCCCAUUACUAUUCCCUAUAAUUUAAUGCAAAUGUACAUAGGCAAAAUGAACAGUUAUUUGCUUUCUCU